rnacentral:lncRNA from 1 species
CCAAUUCUGAAACAAGAGUUCAGCGCAAGCUUAAAGUUCUGUCCUUGUCAUUCUCAUCUGGAUACAUGCUUGAAUAAGAAAAGGACAUUAAAAAAAAAAAAAAAAAACUCUUCUGAAAACUAGCACCAGCUAAUCAGGAAAAUAUCAUCUACUGGGAAAUAGGAAUCAAAGUGUCGGGAUCACAGAUUCCGGUAAUCAAGCCAAAUGGGCUACCAGCUAUGAUAGUUUUUUUCAGUUGUAACUCUAAAUGAACAUCACUCUCGUGGCGAUCGAAAAUGUAAUGAUUACAUUCAUACGAAUGCACUACUUGAUCGGUUAAAGUACGUAGUUUAUAUCCUUUCAAGAUCAAAAUACUGUGGUAAGAAUGUGUGAUAUUUUGAGAUCCGGUAUUCGUUGAAAAACUCUUAGCUUGUACUGCCUGCUU